CCUACGGGAGACUGCAGUGGGGGAUCUUGCACAAUGGGGGGAACCCUGAUGCAGCGACGCCGCGUGGGUGAAGAAGCGCCUCGGCGCGUAAAGCCCUGUCGGCAGGGAAGAAAAUGACGGUACCUGACGAAGAAGCCCCGGCUAACUACGUGCCAGCAGCCGCGGUAAUACGUAGGGGGCAAGCGUUAGCCGGAUUGACUGGGUGUAAAGGGGUCGGAGACGGAGAUGCAAGCCUGGAGUGAAAGCCCGGGGCCCAACCCCGGGACUGCGCUUUGCAUUGCGUGGGUUGAGUGCAGGAGGGGCAGGCGGAAUUCCUGGUGUAGCGGUGAAAUGCGUAGAUAUCAGGAGGAACACCGGUGGCGAAGGCGGCCUGCUGGACUGCAACUGACGUUGAGGCCCGAAAGCGUGGGGAGCAAACAGGAUUAGAUACCCCAGUAGUC
rnacentral:rRNA from 1 species